rnacentral:rRNA from 1 species
UAGGGAAUCUUCGGCAAUGGGGGGAACCCUGACCGAGCAACGCCGCGUGAGUGAAGAAGGUUUUCGGAUCGUAAAGCUCUGUUGUUAAGGAAGAACGAGUGUGAGAAUGGAAAGUUCAUACUGUGACGGUACUUAACCAGAAAGGGACGGCUAACUACGUGCCAGCAGCCGCGGUAAUACGUAGGUCCCGAGCGUUGUCCGGAUUUAUUGGGCGUAAAGCGAGCGCAGGCGGUUAGAUAAGUCUGAAGUUAAAGGCAGUGGCUCAACCAUUGUAGGCUUUGGAAACUGUUUAACUUGAGUGCAGAAGGGGAGAGUGGAAUUCCAUGUGUAGCGGUGAAAUGCGUAGAUAUAUGGGGGAACACCGGUGGCGAAAGCGGCUCUCUGGUCUGUAACUGACGCGGAGGCUCGAAAGCGUGGGGAGCGAACAGG